UGAAAAUUUGAGAUUGAUAAGAUCGUCUCUUCCUGAGGCAGUUGAAGCUUGCGUUGAUGCUGCAGGUCAUGAAUUUGACGUUUCACGCUAGCGAACUCUCUUAAGGGCAGCCAGUUAUGGGCAGGCCUUUUGUAGCAAUUUUCAACGUGAUCGUAUCCAAGAGAUGUGUAAAAUUCUGCGGGUCUUGAAUGCAGUGCGCAGCCCUAAGAUUGGCAUUCCUCUUAGUAUUCAGCAAUACAAGUUGCUUACACCAUCUGUUCUGAUCGGUCGCCUA